rnacentral:rRNA from 1 species
CACCGACAGCUCUAGUGGUAGCUGUUUUUAUUGGGCCUAAAGCGUCCGUAGCCGGUUUAAUAAGUCUCUGGUGAAAUCCUGUAGCUUAACUGUGGGAAUUGCUGGGGAUACUAUUAGACUUGAGAUCGGGAGAGGUUAGAGGUACUCCCAGGGUAGAGGUGAAAUUCUGUAAUCCUGGGAGGACCGCCUGUUGCGAAGGCGUCUAACUGGAACGAUUCUGACGGUGAGGGACGAAAGUUAGGGGCGCGAACCGGAUUAGAUACCCGGGUAGUCCUAGCCGUAAACUAUGCGGACUUGGUGUGAGGGUGGCUUUGAGCCGUCCUGGUGCCGAAGGGAAGCUGUUAAGUCCGCCGCCUGGGAAGUACGGUCGCAAGACUGAAACUUAA